rnacentral:rRNA from 1 species
CAGCAGCCGCGGGAAUACGAAGGGGGCUAGCGUUGCUCGGAAUUACUGGGCGUAAAGGGAGCGUAGGCGGACAUUUAAGUCAGGGGUGAAAUCCCAGAGCUCAACUCUGGAACUGCCUUUGAUACUGGGUGUCUUGAGUGUGAUAGAGGUAUGUGGAACUCCGAGUGUAGAGGUGAAAUUCGUAGAUAUUCGGAAGAACACCAGUGGCGAAGGCGACAUACUGGAUCAUUACUGACGCUGAGGCUCGAAAGCGUGGGGAGCAAACAGGAUUAGAGACCCCCGUAGUCCCUGUCUCUUAUAC